rnacentral:lncRNA from 1 species
CCUCUGAGCAACAAGGCAAGCAACCCCUUUGAUCAUCCCGAUAAUUUCCAUGUUCCUGCUCCUGCACUUAUUUAUUGCAUUAGGAUCAAAUGCUUCAACUGCUUUUGCCACGUUAGUUGAACCCACUUCCUUUGCAUGACCUAACCUUGUCACAGUAAAUAGCCGAACCUUGCAACCUAGCAUACCUGGUAGUUGCUUGAGC